CAACCUCAACUCAUAGGGGACUACCCCCUGAAUUUAAGCAUAUUAAUUAGGGGAGGAAAGGAAAUUAACAAGUGAUUUUGGUAGUAGCGGCGAGGGCAACAAGAAACCAAUUCUGCAGUAAGUCACUAUGUAGCUGAGUGCAAACAUAGAGAAAUAGGGUAGGCAACAUCCACGCUGUAGUUCGGAGAAGUCACCGACACAAGUCCUUUUUAAACGAGGCCAGUGACGCCAGAGAGGGAACCAGGCCAGCAUAAGGAUAA
rnacentral:ncRNA from 1 species